rnacentral:tRNA from 1 species
GCCGGGGUGGCGAAACUGGCAGACGCGCUCGCUUCAGGAGCGUGUCCCAGCAAUGGGGUGGAGGUUCAAGUCCUCUCUCCGGCA